GCGUUUUUCAGAACAUGUUUCCUGUAUGAAAAUAACACCUUCCUGAGCAGGAUGUGUCAAAAAAUAAUAAUAAUAAUAAUACCAAAAACCAAACCCCAAAUGUUAGUGAUCAGAGGUGUGGAAUGGACUACUUCUGCUCUUAGAAGGAACUAUCUGGAAAGAUGGCAGACAAGACAGUUUCUUUCUGACAAACGAGACUGGAACUGAUGUCAGAACUCCCUGAUUCAAAAUCAGAACUCCCCCGCUAGCUGCGGGCGCUCCUGGCUCCUGGGAGCAACAGAGAGAUGGCUUCUGUGGGCAGCCGCUGUGGAUGGGGCCUUUGUCAGGCAUCUUGAAUCCCAAGCACCAGCCUAUAUUUGCAAGCAGAGCCUGCAAGGUGACUGACGUGGAGCUGCACCUGUGAAGUGCUAAGUCCCUGUCUACUGGGCGGCAGAGAAGGGCAGAGGGAAGGCGGAGAGCCCCCUGCCCUCUCUACCCCUCCAACCUCCACCUCUCCCCCAGCCAGCUAAAGCAGUUUAGGAAGGGCCACAUUCUGAAACAAGGGCCGGGAGCAGGCCACGUGUGAGCACCUGAGGGCAUGAUUAGUCCUGCGCUUGUGGCCUCCUUGCUUGCCUGGCUGGUCCCUGAGACCAAGCAAGGCCCUUUCUCCCCACGAGUGGGAAACAUGCUGCCACCAGAGGGGUGGCAAAGGGUCUGGGGGCAGUUGACAACAGGGUGUGUUAUUUCUAUAAAUGCUGAUGAGUUUUUACUAGUUGUUGAGACAUCAUUCAAGAGGUUCCUUUUGAACCCCAAGAUUACACAAAGCCCAGGUGGGGAGGGCAGAGAGCCCCAUGCCUGGCUAACAUCGUCAGGAGGCAGCUGCUCCCUGCUUUGAUAGAGGCAGAGCGGCUUUGCACCCCGGCUUUGGGGCGGCCAUGCAGAGGCUCUGCAGAGGGUGCUCCAAUAUGGCCCAGGCAUGGACCCAACCUCCAUCCUCGUCUGGGGCUACCCAUUAUAUCCACUUCUCAGGUGCAGGAAUUGAGCUUGUGAGAGGUCAAGGGACUUCCCCAGGACUUUCACUACUCAGUGGUAGAGCUGGGAUUUGAACCCAUAGCCUUGCCUCACACCUUGCCUGGAGCUAGAACCAGCUACGUGUUUGGGGUCCCAAAGGCCAGCUGUCAGUUGUGAACAAUGUAGGAACAAUGGAGAUGGGCUCUUGGAAUGAAUCUGUUACUUCUGGCCAGAUCUGGUGGCUCACGCCCAUAAUCCCAACAUUUUGAGAGGCCACGGGGGGCGGGGGGGGAUCACUUGAGGUCGGGAGUUCAAGACCAGCCUGGCCACCAUGGUGAAACCCCAUCUCUACUAAAAAUACAAAAAUUAGCCAGUCAUGGUGGUGCAUACCUGUAAUCCCAGCUACUCAGGAGGCUGAGGCAGGAGAAUCACUUGAAUCCAGGAGGCAGAGGUUGCAGUGAGCCGAGAUUGCACCACUGCACUCCAGCCUGGGCAACUGUGGAGACAGUAUCUCACUAUGUUGCCCGGGCUGGUUUCGUACUCCUGGGCUCAUCAAGGAAUCCUCCUGCCUUCACCUCCCAAAGGGCUGAGAUUACAGGGGUGAUCUGCAAUCAGAUUUUUGAGACCCUGUCUCAAAAAAAAGAAAAAUCCACACACACACACACAAGAGAAAAUGUCAGUCCUUUGUUGGAUGAAGACACUCAGGCUGGAGUCUCAUAAUCCACUGUGCUUCCCUAACCCACUGCAGACCUAAAAUAAGGCAUUGCAUAGACACCUCGACAUUCUGUAGAUGCACGCCAUUUUUCAUGGGCUAGCGCUGAUUAGUCACAUGCCAUGCACAUGCCUAAUAAUGUGGGGCAGGUGAGAAACCACAGCCCAUUCCUGCCCCGGGGGCCGAAUUCCUCCAUGGGAAGUCAGGACCGGAAAGAACAGCAGGAGAUGAAUCUGAUCAAGCAUUGGAUGGAUGCUCCCCUUCUCUCAUUUCUGCGUUUCUCUUAGAGCUCUGCGUUUCAGUCACAAGAGUCCACCCAGGACGGGGCAUGGUGGCUCACGCCUGUAAAUCUCAGCACUUUGGGAGGUCAAGGCAGGAGGAUUCCUCGAUGAGCCCAGGAGUAGAAGAUCAACAUGUGCAAGAUAUUGAGACCCUGUCUCUACAUAAAACAACAGCAAAAAUCAGCUGAGUGUGGUGGCAUGCACUUGUAUUCCCAGCGAAAUGAAACAAAGUGGGACCAAGGAAAAUUGACUGAAAGAGAGCCUGGCAUUCGAUAAUCAAAACCCUUUCCAAAGUGGAGGGAUCAAAGCUCUGACUGAAGGUGACCAAUGAGGUCCUGGGACAAUCGGCCAGCCAGCUCCUGAACCAAAAGGUGCCUUUUUCUUAAUUACACCCAGAGAGCAUAGGAAAGUGGAUGCCAGCAAUAUUUAUUUUCUGCUCUGAGCCCAGCACAGGUAACUCACCGGGGGCAUCUUUCUUAAUGAGGGAAGAAAAAUGUCAGAACAGCGAUCAGCUACGAUGCACCCAGUGGACUUAAAAAUAAGCAAAAAUAACAUGAAAAUGUAUUUUGCAUUAGCUGGCUGUAUAUAUCAUCCAAGACUAUGAGAGCAGGAUUUUCUUUGUGCCAUGGUGAGAUCUGUUACUAGGGUUUCCUCGCGGUGGACGUGCUUCACGGAGGGGAUAUUCAUUCUGGGGAUUCUUUCAUUCAAUUUAAAACCCAAGUGGAAGUUGGAGGCUCAGGUCCAUCUGUUCCCGCCGGGAUGCCAACUUCCUCCUGGUGUUUCGAGUCUGUACCUUCCACGCUCAUGGUGGUGCCUCCUCACCCGCAUCUGAGGUUACACCUUUUAUGUGUAUUUGGAGCCUUUGGGGGCAGAGCAGACGUCCCUGUCAUUUAAUAAUAAUGCAACUCUCUGUGAGCUCAUAUUACCCUCACACAAACCUGCAGGUAGGGAUUCUCACCCCUGUUUACCUGAAGAGGAGAAAGAGGCUUGGAUGGGGUUAUCUGCUAAUCUGCUACACAACCUCCCUACCUGCUCUGUCAAGGCCAGAGAUUGGCUGGGCACAGUGGCUCACUCCUGUAAUCCCAGCAGUUUGGGAGGCUGAGGCCAAUGGAUCAUUUGAAGCCAAAAGUUCAAGACUAGUGUGGCCAACAUGGGAAAACCCCGUCUUGACUAAAGAUACGACGAUUAGCCGGGCAUGGUGGCACGAACUGUAAUUGCAGCUACUUGAGAGGCUGAGGCAUGAGAAUUGCUUGAACCCAGGAGGCGGAGGUUGCAGUGAGCCGAGAUCGUGCCACUGCACUUCAGCCUGGGCAAAAGAGCAAGAUUCCAUCUAAGAACAAAAAACGAAACAAAACAACAACAAAAAUUAAAAAAAAAAAAAACAUUUUGUGUGGCGGUACAUGCCUGUAAUCCUAGCUAUUUAAGAGGCUGAGGUGGGAGACUCACUUGAGCCCAGAAGUUAGAGGCUGCAGUGAGCCAGGAUUAUGCCACUGUACUCCAACCACAGCAACAGAGCAAGACUGUCUCUUAAAUAAAAAUAAAAAUAAAAACAUUUUUAAACUGCUGGACACAGUGGCUCACACCUGUAAUCCCAGCACUUUGAGAGGCCGAGGCAGAUAAAUCACCUGAGGUCAGGAGUUUGAGACCACCCUGGCCAACAUGGUGAAAUCCAUCUCUACUAAAAAAAAAAAAAUACAAAAAAGUAGUUAGGCAUCAUGUGUCUGGCAUGAGACAGUAGUGCCAAUUACUCAGGAGGCUGAGGCAGGAGGAUCACUUUAACCCAGGAGGUGGAGGUUGCAGUGAGAUUGCACCCCUGCACUCAAGCCUGGGUGGCAGAGCAAGACUCCAUCUCAAAAAAAAAAAAAAAAAAAAAAAAAGAGUCUAGCCCAGAGCCCAAGCAGGGAAGCUGUGGAUGCAUUCUGUCCAGUGACUGAAUGAAUGGGUCAUGGGUCCCUGCCCGUGUGCGGACUGUGUUGUCCCAGCACAGGCACCCCAAAUCAUUUCUGAGGCUGGGUGCACAGAAGGAACUCUCAAUGAGAGCUUGAUGCCGGCCAGAGGGGCUGCAGAGAGGAGGGGACUAACUCCCCCUCCCUAAUUCCAGGCCAAGGCAGGAGAGGGAUGACAAGACUCGGAGGAGGACGUCCUUGAAGUAAUGAAAUGCAAGUAAUCCUGACUGGCUUCAUUUAGAGCAGUUCAGAGAAGGAAGAGCCAAGAAUCAAAUGAAGCCUGUCCCCAGGUCUGCAGGGCUCAGCUGCUCUCCUUCCUUCGGCAACAUGGCGUGGAAUGCUUGGGUCCCCACUGCCACUGGAUCACUUGGAAGAGGUGAAUGGUACUCACCUUGCCUCUUCUGCCACCGAGAAGUGGGGAGGAUAUAUCAAGAGGAAAACGGAGAGGAUAGUCAGUGAGAGACAGAGAUGGUGAAACAUGAGAAAGGAAGAGAGCUGGUACUUAGCACGGGAGACACAGAAGGAGGCUGGAGAGGUGGAGCCGGUCCAAGAAAGAGAGAGGGGCUGCAGGCUCCCCUCUGCCCUGCACACCGCCUGUACCGUCCUCCACUGGCUCUGUGUACCCCUGCACAGACUCCAUCUGUGGAUGCUUCACUCUGCCUUCUGGGCAGUUGGACCUGGGAGGCCCUAGCAGGAGACUGGGGCAGAGGAGAAUAGCUGGGGGUUCCCUGGGCUCCUCCUUCUUCUUCGGUCACCACUGCUAUGGGGGAGGGCUCCCUACACAGCCACCUUGGCCUGCAUCAGGGAACGCCUCCUCCAGAAGCCCCGAGGCCCCAGGCAUGGGAACAGCUCACUGCUGCUACACCCAGGGUACCACUUCUCCUCCUGGGGUCCCCUGUGCAAACAGUUAUUCAUUAAAUGCUGCCUGGAUGGCCAGAAGGAGCAAGCCACCUGCUCCCCACUGGGUCCUAGAUGAAACAGGGGCAUCCGGGGAUUUUAACCUCUAGGAGGAGAAGAAUCCAUGUAUGGAGGAGAGAGACCCAUGUCUCGGAUUCGAGAGCUAUCCCUUGGAGCAGAGCACCACCUCUUUCAGAAGGCAACAGUCAGUACAGACUUGUCAGAAGGUCCCAGCCUCUGCUGAGCACCCACGAAUGGCUGUUUUUUGUUGAGUUUUUGUUGUUGUUUUUUGAGACGGAGUCUCACUCUGUCACCCAGGCUGGAGUGCAGUGGCACAAUCUCGGCUCACUGCAACCCCCAUCUCCCAGGUUCAAGCAACUCUCCUGCCUCAGCCUCCUGAGUAGCUGGGGUCACAGGUGCCCACCACCACGUCCAGCUAAUUUUUGUAUUUUUAGUAGAGACAGGGUUUCACCAUGUUGCCCAGGCUGGUCUUGAACUCCUGACAUCAGGUGAUCCACCCAACUUUGUCUCCCAAAGUGCUGGGGUUACAGGCAUGAGCCACCGCGCUGGGCCGAGAAUGACUGUUUGAUGAGUGAGUCCCAGGCUCAGCUGCAGCUGUCUUCAGAGGACAACCCUUAAGAUAAAUAAAUAAAGCCUCCCCUGACUGUGCAUGCUCCGAGCCCUAUUUUUAGAAUGUAGGACAACUUUCUCCCGGAAUAGACAAGACAUGCUAAUCCAGGAGGGAGGCCUGCGAGAGAUGAAGAUGUCGAGUCCAGAUAUGAAUUAGUUAAAUAUUCGGCCAGGCGCAGUUGCUCACGCCUGUAAUCCCAACACUUUGGGAGGCUGAGACGGGUGGAUCACGAGGUCAAGAGAUCGAGACCAUCGUGGUCAACAUGGUGAAACCCCGUCUCUACUAAAAAUGCAAAAAAAUCAGCUGGGCACGGUGGCGCGUGCCCGUAAACCCAGCUACUCAGAAGGCUGAGGAAGGAGAAUUGCCUGAACCCAGGAGGCAGAGGUUGUGGUGAGCCGAGAUCGUGCCAUUACACUCCAGCCUGGGUAACAAGAAUGAAACUCCAUCUCAAAAAAAAAAAAAGAAAGGAAGAAAUAUUUAUUUUCCUUAAAUAUCAUCAUCUUAUUAAAAUGAUGAAGU